UACGUAGGGGGCAAGCGUUGUCCGGAAUCAUUGGGCGUAAAGAGCGUGUAGGCGGCUCGGUAAGUCCGCUGUGAAAGUCCAGGGCUCAACCCUGGAAAGCCGGUGGAAACUGUCGAGCUUGAGUCCGGAAGAGGCGAGUGGAAUUCCUGGUGUAGCGGUGAAACGCGCAGAUAUCAGGAGGAACACCAAUGGCGAAGGCAGCUCGCUGGGACGGUACUGACGCUGAGACGCGAAAGCGUGGGGAGCAAACAGG
rnacentral:rRNA from 1 species